rnacentral:rRNA from 1 species
AUUGAACGCUGGCGGCAGGCCUAACACAUGCAAGUCGAACGAGUGGCGGAGGGGUGAGUAAUGUGUGGGAAAGUGCCUGAUGGAGGGGGAUAACUACUGGAAACGGUAGCUAAUACCGCAUACCAAGGGAUGUGCCCAGAUGGGAUUAGCUAGUAGGGGGGGUAAAGGCGCACCUAGGCGACGAUCCCUAGCUGGUCUUAGAGGAUGACCAGCCACACUGGAACUGAGACACGGUCCAGACUCCUACGGGAGGCAGCAGUGGGGAAUAUUGCACAAUGGGCGCAAGCCUGAUGCAGCCAUGCCGCGUGUAUGAAGAAGGCCUUCGGGUUGUAAAGUACUUUCAGCGGGGAGGCGUUACCCGCAGAAGAAGCACCGGCUAACUCCGUGCCAGCCGCCGCGGUAAUUC